UACGGGGGAUGCAAGCGUUAUCCGGAAUCAUUGGGCGUAAAGCGCCUGUAGGUUGUUUACUAAGUCUGUUGUUAAAGACUAGGGCUUAACCCUAGAAAAGCAAUGGAAACUUGUAGACUAGAGUAUGGCAGGGGUAGAGGGAAUUUCUAGUGUAGCGGUGAAAUGCGUAGAUAUUAGAAAGAACACCAGUGGCGAAAGCGCUCUACUGGACCAUUACUGACACUCAGAGGCGAAAGCUAGGGUAGCAAAAGGG
rnacentral:rRNA from 1 species